rnacentral:rRNA from 1 species
AGAGUUUGAUCCUGGCUCAGGAUGAACGCUAGCUACAGGCUUAACACAUGCAAGUCGAGGGGAAACGAUAGAGAAAGCUUGCUUUUUCUAGGCGUCGACCGGCGCACGGGUGAGUAACGCGUAUCCAACCUGCCCAUCACUUGGGGAUAACCUUGCGAAAGUAAGACUAAUACCCAAUGAGGUCUCUAGAAGACAUCUGAAAGAGAUUAAAGAUUUAUCGGUGAUGGAUGGGGAUGCGUCUGAUUAGCUUGUUGGCGGGGUAACGGCCCACCAAGGCGACGAUCAGUAGGGGUUCUGAGAGGAAGGUCCCCCACAUUGGAACUGAGACACGGUCCAAACUCCUACGGGAGGCAGCAGUGAGGAAUAUUGGUCAAUGGGCGAGAGCCUGAACCAGCCAAGUAGCGUGCAGGAUGACGGCCCUAUGGGUUGUAAACUGCUUUUAUAAGGGAAUAAAGUGGGAGUCGUGACUCCUUUUGCAUGUACCUUAUGAAUAAGGACCGGCUAAUUCCGUGCCAGCAGCCGCGGUAAUACGGAAGGUCCGGGCGUUAUCCGGAUUUAUUGGGUUUAAAGGGAGCGUAGGCCGGAGAUUAAGCGUGUUGUGAAAUGUAGACGCUCAACGUCUGCACUGCAGCGCGAACUGGUUUCCUUGAGUACGCACAAAGUGGGCGGAAUUCGUGGUGUAGCGGUGAAAUGCUUAGAUAUCACGAAGAACUCCGAUUGCGAAGGCAGCUCACUGGAGCGCAACUGACGCUGAAGCUCGAAAGUGCGGGUAUCGAACAGGAUUAGAUACCCUGGUAGUCCGCACGGUAAACGAUGGAUGCCCGCUGUUGGUCUGAAUAGGUCAGCGGCCAAGCGAAAGCAUUAAGCAUCCCACCUGGGGAGUACGCCGGCAACGGUGAAACUCAAAGGAAUUGACG